AUGGGGGAUGAAAGAUACAGAGGAAACCCAGCUCCACCACUUUGGAGGGAAAUACAGUCUUGUGCUCUCAUUUCAUCUGGUAGGAUUAGGCUAGAAAUGUAUUUUGGCAGGGACUGGUGGCCCCACCUACCACCCCAUCAUCGUGCCCAGCCAAAGAUAACAUCUCCUUUCCUAGCAGGUAGGUGUGGGCAAAUAACCUGCUUCUGGCCAAUGGUAUAUGGGGGAGAAGUGAGACGUAUGGAUUUUGGAAAUUUUCCUCAAAAGAAGGAAACAUGUGCCCCCCUUCCAUCUGUCCCUUUCUCAGAGGCUAAAACAUAGAAGAGGGCAGAGCAACAGCAGAGGACACUGCAUCCCUGAAAUUAGGCUAUGUACUAGCCUCUUACAUGACAGAGAGAUAAUUUUGCAAUUUUGUUAUCUUAGGGUCUCUUGUAACAGUGGCCUGACCUAUAUCUUAACUAAUAUUUGAUCUUUAGACAAGAAGACUCUCAAAGGGGGCACCUGGGUUGCUCAGCAGUUGAAUGUCUGCCUUCAGCUCAAGUCAUGGUCCCAAAGUCCUGGGAUCGAGUGCUAUAUCAGGCUCCCCAUGGGGAGCCUGCUUUUCCCUCGUCCUAUAUCUCUGCUUCUCUCUCUCAUGAAUAAAUAAAAUCUUAAAAAAAAAAAAGAAGCCUCUAAAAGAACACUAGAGAAGAGAUGAAGAGCCAAGCUCACCUUUGUAAAAUGCUUUCUGUGCAACAGGCACUCUGCUAGAUGACAAUCCUAGAAAGUAUUGUCGUAUUCCUCAUGUUAGAAACAAGGACACUGAAGUUCGGUGAAGCCAGCCAACUACCAUAAGAUCACAUGGCUGGUAAAUGGUGGUGCCCAUGUUUGCCGGUUUCCAAAACCCAUACUCUUUCCACUUGACAAUAACUGUGAAAGUGAUAGUAAGAGAUAACAUUUAUUAAGUGCGUAUUACGUGUCAAAAUCUGCAUUGAGCUUUAUGCACGAAUUAACCUAUUUAAUUCGGACAACUCUUUGAUGCAAGCACUUUCACUGCACUUAUUUUACCAAUGAAAAAAAGGGCUUUUCAAAGGCAUAAUACUAGGAAGAGGCAGAGUCACAAUUUGCACAGGGUCUGACUACUCCAGAGCUACAAAUCUUACCCCAUUGCUUGACCAAAAGCACAUUUUUGGAUUAAAUCAUUAUCGGCAAAAGAAAUAGCCAGUGCCCAGAGUAUGCUUUAGGAUAAGGAGCAAGCUAUCUCUCUGAACUCAAGGGUUUAAUAUGCUCAUAUGUGGCCCAUUUGACCUCAGUAUAGAGCUUCUGAAAAUUAAAAGGAGAAAAAAAAUAUUUCAUUAAAUUAUUUAAUGCAUAAGAACUAUACAAUAAGACUCAACUGUCAUUUUGCUACUACCAGCAUUUACCUUACUGUCACCAGCUGUUAAUUUGCAGCCCUAAAUCAAUAAGUCAUUGUAUAGAAGCUGAAAGAAAUUCAUUAUACAUGAUUGAAUAAUUUAAGUUUAAUUCUGCUAAAAUCCUAUCGAAAAGUUAGGGAUGUUAUGGAAUACGACAGAAAACACGUAGACAAAAAUAAAGCUUCUGUAGGCCCUUGACUGAGGCUUAAAUGAUGAUCAGAACUUUUUAAGUGACCAUUAUGGGCUCACUCAAAAAUAAAACUAUUAAUUCUGUUCUCAAAUACAGAGUUUUGUUUUUAUUUUUAUUUUAAAUCAUAUAUUCCACUAACAGAAGCUUAGGUAUUUCUAUCAACAAUUUAAUCUGAUAUUUGCUUCUGAGAAUCAGUUGAAAGUAAGAAAGCAGAAAAGAAAUGGGUGAAAAUUAAAAAAGCAUUUUCAAAGUCAUCCAUAUAAUGAUUAUAUAAUAACAAAAUCUGAAAAAAGAUAUUAUAAGACAAAAAAAUGACAGAGCAAUAUUUCUCAUGGACAUAGAUACUGUAAUAGACAGAUAUAGGGUAGCUCUACCUCCUGGUGUUCAUAUCCUUGAAUAAUUCUCUCCCCUUUGAGAGUAGGUGGGAACUGUGACUUGCCUAAUAACCAACAGAACAUGGCAAAAGUGAUGGAAGUGAUGUCCUUCCCAGAAUCACAUUACAUUUAUUUAAUAUGCCUUGCUAGCAGACUCACUCUAGAGAUGUUCCUUGGCUGGCUUUGAAGAAGUAGCCAUGUUGGGAAGCCCACAUGGCAAGGAAGUGAGAGUGCUCUCCAAGAACAGCCAGCAAGAAGCCAGGACUCUCAACUGUACAACCACAAGGAGAUGAAUUCUGACAGCUACCCGAAAGACCUUGGAAGCAGACUCUUCCCUAGUUGAGCUUUCAAAUGAGAGCACCAAAUGGCCAACACCUUAAAUGCAGCCUUGUGAGACCCUAAGCUGAGGACCCACCCAGUCAGAGUGCACCCAGCUCCUGACCCACAGAAACUGUAAGAUAAUUAACAUGUGUUGUUUUAAGCUUUGGUAAUUUGUUACACAGUGAUAAAUGAUGCACAUGCAAAUACUGCCAAUAAACUAUUAGCAAACCAAACCCAUUGAUACAUAAAAAGGAGAUUUAUUCCAAAAAUGCAAAGUUGGUUCAACAUUCAAAAAUCAAUAAAUAAUUUGCCCACAUAGGUGAAGGAGG
rnacentral:lncRNA from 1 species